AAACUAACAAGGAUUCCCCUAGUAACGGCGAGUGAACCGGGAAGAGCUCAAAUUUGUAAUCUGGCCCUUGGGUCCGAGUUGUAAUCUAUAGAGGCGUUUUCCGUGCCGGACCGUGUCCAAGUCCCUUGGAACAGGGUAUCAAAGAGGGUGACAAUCCCGUACUUGACACGACGACCGGUGCUCUGUGAUACGUCUUCGACGAGUCGAGUUGUUUGGGAAUGCAGCUCAAAAUGGGUGGUAAUUCCAUCUAAAGCUAAAUAUUGGCGAGAGACCGAUAGCGAACAAGUACCGUGAGGGAAAGAUGAAAAGCACUUUGGAAAGAGAGUUAAACAGUACGUGAAAUUGUUAAAAGGGAAACGAUUGAAGUCAGUCGUGUCGGUUGGAUUCAGCUCGGUCUCCGGGUGUAUUUCCUUCCGACGGGUCAACAUCAGUUUGGAUCGGUGGAUAAAGAUGGAGGGAAGGUGGCAUCCUCGGAUGUGUUAUAGCCCUCUGUUGCAUACGCUGGUCCGGACUGAGGCAUGCAGCUCGCCUUUAUGGCCGGGGUUCGCCCACGUUCGAGCUUAGGAUGUUGACGUAAUGGCUUUAAACGAC
rnacentral:rRNA from 1 species